CCUCUCUACAUCACAUGAGAACACAGUGAGAAGGAGGCCAACUACCAGCCAGGAAAAGUCUUCAUCAAAAACUCACCGUGCCACCUCCAACUUCUAGCCUCCAGAACUAUGAGAAAACUCCACCAUUCCAUGAGGCACUAUUGGAACUAUAUAAGUAACAAACAUGUCAUCGGAAGACUCCUAUCAAGAAACAUAUUAUAUAAAGUUGAAUACUGCUCCCCUGCAAGCUGGAGAAGUGUUCAAGUACUGUCCACUUCCCAUGUCUAUAUUUGAAGAAAAAUCCAACUGAAGCUUCCAGGCAUAAAGUAUCGUCUGUUUCCAGCACACCUCAUACUAUUGAGCUUCCAACUUCCUACAGAGGUAAAAACAACAGUAUACAAAUAUAGAACAUUGGCUCCCACCCCCCCAAAAAAAAAAUAAAAUAAAAUAAAAACUAUAGG